rnacentral:lncRNA from 1 species
UAAUGACACACCCCGUCCCGAAGGAGGGCAUGCUGGCCGUCACGUGAGAGUGACGUAACCAUUUGCACAGUACGGAAGCUUUAAGAUACAAUUUAUAAGUUGAUACACCCGAAGGUGAGUCCUAAUUUUGUCCAAUCUGUCAGAACACCGUCAAAUUCCUCGUAGCCACCACACCUCAGCUAUUCUUUAACCUGGAGGGGCGCAAAACCAAAAUUGAGUGGGUCAGUAAAACAAUUCUUUUCAAAUCCAAUUUUUUCUCAAAGCAUUGUAACCCCUCUCCGUAAAACCUGUAUACUUUCCCAGAAAUGUAAAAUAUAAAUAUACAUAUAUAUUCUCAAAACUUCAUUUUUACUAUCUCAACAUUUUUCUUUAUCAAUCAUGUCAUGCCAUGUCUAAUUCAACAGUUAAGUAUGGAUGCAUCAACAAUAAUCAUAUCAGGUGCAAGAAAGUAAUCAACCGGAGGCCCUCUAAUAGCCAUGUACGGUUGAACCUAGAGCUCAAAAUCUAUCACUCUCACACUCUGCCGGAGUCACUCCGCGUGACCUGUACGGCCUUCUGCACAUAAGUUACGCUCUAGUGCUUUUCAUAAUCAUCUGUGCACAUAAUCUAAGGUCACCCACCAGUCGGAAUCUCACUAACACUCUCGCGACUGGCCUGUCGUACCCACUCCGCGUGGACUGUACGACUAGCAUCUACUUGGAUCCAAGACGAGCGUGCGAUGCGGUGAAUACUAUAAGCACUAAACUAUGGUGCAGGAUUUGAGCUCAAUAUAUAUCAACAUCAUCAUAACAGUAUUUAAAUACUCACCUGAUACUCACCUGUGCGUCCGCCGCACCAAUUCAUACAUAUGCAUCAUAUAUCAUUUCAUAUCAUUUCAUGCAUGGCAAUUCGAUUCACAUUUCUAUAUACUUUUCAUAUACUUUCAUGCAUAGCGUUUCAAUUCACGUUUUUCAUAUAGUUCUAUAUACUUUUCACAUAUUUCUAUUUAAAACAUAAUUUCAUGCAUUUUCAAUUUCUGGGAAAACGGCAAGUAUAUAUAUAUACUGAAAACAAAACUGCCCACUCACAGAAUACAUCAACGUGUCGAAGGUCCCUGAGCAUCCCUUGGCCAUGCCCGAUGCCCGCAUAAGCCUCACCUAUACAAAAGUAACCAAUUUGGCGUUAUUUAACGCCUAACCCAAUUCUUAGCUAAUAACUCCUCAUAUAUUCCUCAAAUUGGGUAUAUGAAUAUACCACUGUGACCUACACAACCUCAGGAUCAUCCCCAUAUUUUUAAAAUAAUUUUUGGAGGUUUCACGCGCCCCCACGCGCCUGACGUGGCACGGACCUACGCGCUCCCCACGCGCGGCCACGUGCCAAGCACACUGACGGUGUCAAUUGACGCCGUCAGGAAUAUUCUGUUAAAACCCCGGAAUAUUCCGUUAACUUAACCGGAUACCGUUACUGCCGUUAGGAAUAUUCGUUAAAAAUACCGGAAUAUUCCUUCUUCUUCUCCGGUCGUCCCUCGCCGGACUCCGGUCACCGGAAACUGGGGAAUAUUUCAAAUCCACUAUUCUCCUUCGUUUUUCAUCCAAAUUUCUCGAAUUUUACACCAAUUUGAAGCCCUAAACAUCUACUUUCACGUUGGACUAGUUUUAGGGCCUAAAAACUACGAGAUCAAACUUUUCAAAAAUUCAAGAAUUCGGCCAAACUUACAACUCGUGAUCCUGACGUCCAAUUCAUCAUGCCAACGAAGCACUCCGAGCUUCCUUGGGACUUCCUUAAGCUCACUGUGAGCUUGGUUUGGCCUAAAACACAACCAAUUCAAAGCUCAUGAACAGUACACAUUCACGGCAACUUUAGAAACUAGGGUUUUCGAAGUGAAACUUACCUUAAACUGGUACCUACGUGAUCGUGGAGUCCUCAGGAAUGCAAUGGUGGUUUUAGAUUGAACGAUGGUAGAAGUUUUAGAUGGUUUUGGAGCUUGCCCGUGUGAGUUCGAGUUCGAAGAGAGAGAGAGACAGAACUGAGAGAAAUCGUGAGGGAGGAGAGAGAGAGGGACAAGGUACGGGAAUUGGGGAAGGUUUUGAGGGAUGUGGGGAUCCCACGUCUCCAACCCAAUCCCAAUUUCAAACUUUUAACAUAGAAACCUAAGUAUAAGUCUUGGUUUAGGUUUCUAAAACCAAUUAAUAUUCUAAUUCACCAAAGUUUAAGAACCUUAAGUAAAAAAGUUUCCAAAUUACGCAAAAUUACAUUUAAGUUCCCGUUAAGUUUAGGACAUUUUCGUAACAUUUUCGUAACUUCACGUCCUCGGAAUUAAAAAUUCCGGGACGGGCUGUGACAAUCUUCCCUCCUUAUAGAAUUUCGUCCCCGAAAUUCCAGCAACCAACUAAAUCAACCAUACUCAUACAAUAGCCUCGGGUAAAUCUCUCUCAUCCGAUUCUCUUUCUCCCACGUAGCUUCUUCCGUUGAAUGGUUCCUCCACAAUACUUUUACCACUUACUCUGUCUAAAUUCUCAGGACCUUCUUUUUCCAAUCCAAAGUCGUCCUUGGUUCCUUAUCAAGUCGAAUCCAAUUUAAUUCUCAAUAGUUGCACCAGAAUCUCAUGUGACGAAUCUGCCACCUAGUGACAACGUAUCGAACCCAAAAUACAUUAAGUACCUUAGCCAACUCUGAAGACAUCACCACUUGUAUGCGACUUAUUGAUUCCUUUAGUGAUCAAAAAUGGUCUGAUGUGUCUAAAUCUUAUCUUGUCUCCUUUCCAAUUCUCGCCAUUUCUGUUCGUGGUGAAUUUUCCAAAAUAUCGAAUCAUGAAACACAUCAUGCACUUAUAACAAAUCUGGAAGCCAUUCAAUUCUAUAAUCAACUUCACCAACCUUUCGAUGAUCACGCUAAGUCCGAUUCAUUUAGGAUUUAACUUGCCUUCCUUUCCAACCUGAGUUAUACUUUUCUAGGGUGAACACUUCGAAAAUAUAAAACCAUUUACCUUAUAUACUCGAUUAGUGGCAUAUCAAUAUGUUGAUCUCUUUUGCCAUUCCUGGUUACUUCAGGUUAACUUAAUCACCUGAAUACUUUGAGGAGACUCAUCCAUAGUCUCAGGGCCUACUAAAACUCUUUCUUGAUCGAAUCUUUCUCUAUUCAGAAGCAUUUCAUUCACACGACGCUUCAGGGACCCUAUGGCGUUAUUUCGGAAACUGCGCACCCAACAUACUUAAGAAACUUAGCAGUUCCGUAAACCAAUUCUUCUUUCUAUAAAACAAAUAAGUACCGUUACUCAACCCUGGAGUAAAUGUACUAACUUGGUACAUUGACCAACUAUCGCUUCAAAUUCAAUCAUAACCAUCCUAUGUAUCAUGAAACUUGUACACAUAAUCCAAAGUAAUAUUUUUCCAUUUCCACUGCGAAACAGAAAAUAACCGUCUCAAUCCAAAGGUUUACUUCUUUCUACUUCAAUCUAUUGACCAAUAAAAACGUCAAAUGGUAUACUAGAUCUCAUUACUUUUGGAAUAUUGCAGAAGUUGUACAGUGUACUUCGUCCAAAAUUGCUUGCUUUAAAUCCUCAGCAUUCGGUACAUACUUCUUACUUUCUUGUAUCCACAUACCAUUUGAUUCACGAAUCAUGUACUCAUUCUUUUUCCUUUCUUUCCUUGCCUUGGUUAAUUCUUAAAUUCCUCGUCAAACAUUUAAGUUUCGAGUACGACCUUACCAAACAGGCCUAACUUGAAAUUUAACAAGUAUAACUUCUUCUCGAUCUUCCAUUCUUAAUUUUUCUUCCGUUGGUUUUCAAUCCACAAGAUGAUACUCUUGGCAAACGUGCCAGACAUUAAUCAUACUGUAGUCUUCUCACCAAGUGCUUCAGCUACAACAAUUCACGAUCACCCUGAUCGUACCAUCAUAAUCACUAAGUAAUUGAAUCCACCUUUGUUGCCUCAUAUCAAAAUCCUUCCGAAUAAACAAAUAUUGGAGACUCUUUUGAUUUGUAAAUCUUGCAUUCUUAUCAACAUAUAAUGUCUCCACAACUUCACAGCAAGGAUGAUAAUCGUGACUUCCAAGUCACCAGUAGGGUAAUUCAUCUCAUUAGGUUCCAUUUGUCGUGAAACAUAUUCAAUCACCCUAACAUUUGCAUCAAUACAUCUCCAAGAAUAUUUAAUGUACCAUCACCAUAAACCAAUAAUUACCGCUAUCUUCUGGGAUUACUAAAAUACGUGCAUGAGUGAGGAAAUACUCCAGUUGUUGAAUCCUUUGCUCACAAUUUCCUUCCCACUCAUACAUAACCUCUUUUCUCCACAGUCUCGUUAAUGACAAAGCAAGGACUGAAAAAUCUUUCACAACCAUCCAAGAUAGCCUGGUAAGCUAAGAAAUUCCGAAUCUCAAUUAUGGCUCGUGGUUCCAAAUUCUCAAUUUCUGCUAUCUUUUAAGGAUUCACUUGAAUACCUUAAGAAUAUAUAACAAAUCUCAGAAUGCCACCUGAUUCAUCUAACUUUAGCAUUUGCUACUUAGCAUACAACCAACGUUCUCUCAAUCUUUGCUUCACCGACUUAAUACAUUUACAUGCUCUGCUCUGGUUCAGAAUAUGCCAGAAUAUCUUCAAUGAAAAUGAUAUCAAUUUAUCAAGGCAUUAUUGGAAUACUUCAUCCAUCAACUCAUAAAACAGCAUGAGUAUCCACAUAGCAUCACCAAACUUCAUAAGGACCAUAACAAGUCCAGAAAACCAUCUUAUGAUCAACGUCACUUAAUAUUCAAUUGGUAGUAACCAGAUCUCAAUUCAAUCUUUGAAUCUUCGCAAUUACUUCUGAGCUGGUUAAAUAAACAUCAGUACAUCACCAUGGAUAACGGUUCCCAAUCGUUACCCGAUUCCAUUGUCUAUAAUCAAAGGAUAGUCUUAAAAUCCAUUUUCUUCCUCACCAACAAACUGGUGCUCCUCAAAAGUGUUGUACUAGGUUGAAUGAAAAUUUUAUCAACCAAUUCUUUCAACUGAAUUUCCAAUUCCCUUAACUCAUCAUGAACCAAUCUUUAACAUAAAUUUAUACCUGGCAACAAAUCAAUAGUGAACCUCAUAUCUCUGCCUGAAGGCAAUCCAGGUAUACUUUCAAGGAAGACAUCAAGAAAAGUCUAACCCUUUCGACAUUAUUCACACUACUCCAAACAACAUUAUUUAGCACCACAUGAGCUAAGUAUUUUUGACAGCCUUUCGAAAACAAUCUCUUUGCUCUUACAGUAUAAAUAACGGCCUGACUCAAUCCACUUUGCAUACUUACAAAAGUAAUCUUUGGUCAUCCAGAUCGAUGGAAAGUAACUGGUUUCCCGUAACAUUCCAUCUAGUCACAACUAUAAACAACCAAUCUAAUGGAAUAAAAUUAACUGAUACAAUAUAAAUUCUAUUAUUAUUAAGCAUUCUAAAUAAGUACAAUACUAACAUAAAAUAAUCUACCGGGUUGCUUGCUUAACGAAUCCACGAAUGAGUUAUUAAUAUUACGGUCUGCAGCCCGCAAUACUGAUAAAUCAUCGUUGUCUCGAUAAGUAGGCAACCACUCUCAAAGAUAUAACAUUACUAUUUUGUCACUCAAUGCAAAAUACAUACACUCGUCUCAACUACAUUUAUUUACUACUCUUUAGGUAAGAACAUACAUAAUAAGAAAUAUAUCAGCCGAAGUCAACUAGAAUGACCAAUACGGCUGAUUCAACUCUUAUCUCAAUAAUACGUCGGCCGGAUCCACUCCGCGUGGUCGGUACGGCCGAACCUAUAACUCACCAAUUUCUCAUGGUCUGUACGGCUGAACAUAUAACUCAUCAAAUCUCUCUGUACUCACGGUCAAUCCGACCAAACUACCAAGUCCAUAACUCUGCUGAAUCGACACUAUGAUAUCAUGGAAAAUUGUUGAGUACAACUGAUUCUAGGGACAAUUCACAAUUCUGCGUCCCCUCUGUUCACAUAAACACAUUUAUUAAUUUCACACUUCCCAAAGUGUUAAUUUUGUACCUGCUGCACAAGGUACAUUUCCUUUACUCGAGACACCUUGUCUCAAAUAUCUGGAUGGAACGAGGCAAGUCUAAAAACUUUCUAUAAUAUUCAUUUAUCGUCAACUUCCUUGAUUCACACUUGCAAACUCUUGCUUACUACCAUCGAUAAAUGCCGGAGGGAUAAACUUUUCCUUAAACAAGUCCUUAAAUAAUUCUCAAUCAGCUGUUUCCUCCGGUGACAACAAUUAACAAUCCUGUUUCCACCAGGAUACAAAUUCAUACCCAAAACCAGGUAGUCGUCUCGACCCCUUGUCAGAAGGAAGAUUCCUUUGACUUGCAUAAUCCAAAACUUCUUUUCCAAACGGUUAAACCGUUACUUCGCUCCCUCAGGUUCAUCAUUUCAUAAGGUGAUUCAAAUUCGACUCAUAAUCCGUCUUAAAAUGUCCCUUUUUAUAAUAGAUUGAAUCACCAUAAUAAUAGUUUUCCCUAAACCGCUAUAUUAGGGAGAUUAAAUUCCUCUAACUAAGUGGCUUGCUACGAGGCGGUGUAGUUCUGACAGAAUUCACUAGAAACUUCUCAAGAUGUCCAAGAUUGCAACCAUGCUCUGAUACCAACUGACACACCCCGUCCCGAAGGAGGGCAUGCUGGCCGUCACGUGAGAGUGACGUAACCAUUUGCACAGUACGGAAGCUUUAAGAUACAAUUUAUAAGUUGAUACACCCGAAGGUGAGUCCUAAUUUUGUCCAAUCUGUCAGAACACCGUCAAAUUCCUCGUAGCCACCACACCUCAGCUAUUCUUUAACCUGGAGGGGCGCAAAACCAAAAUUGAGUGGGUCAGUAAAACAAUUCUUUUCAAAUCCAAUUUUUUCUCAAAGCAUUGUAACCCCUCUCCGUAAAACCUGUAUACUUUCCCAGAAAUGUAAAAUAUAAAUAUACAUAUAUAUUCUCAAAACUUCAUUUUUACUAUCUCAACAUUUUUCUUUAUCAAUCAUGUCAUGCCAUGUCUAAUUCAACAGUUAAGUAUGGAUGCAUCAACAAUAAUCAUAUCAGGUGCAAGAAAGUAAUCAACCGGAGGCCCUCUAAUAGCCAUGUACGGUUGAACCUAGAGCUCAAAAUCUAUCACUCUCACACUCUGCCGGAGUCACUCCGCGUGACCUGUACGGCCUUCUGCACAUAAGUUACGCUCUAGUGCUUUUCAUAAUCAUCUGUGCACAUAAUCUAAGGUCACCCACCAGUCGGAAUCUCACUAACACUCUCGCGACUGGCCUGUCGUACCCACUCCGCGUGGACUGUACGACUAGCAUCUACUUGGAUCCAAGACGAGCGUGCGAUGCGGUGAAUACUAUAAGCACUAAACUAUGGUGCAGGAUUUGAGCUCAAUAUAUAUCAACAUCAUCAUAAC